CCUUACCUAAGCUUGACAUCCCAAUGACAUCUCCUUAAUCGGAGAGUUCCCUUCGGGGACAUUGGUGACAGGUGGUGCAUGGUUGUCGUCAGCUCGUGUCGUGAGAUGUUGGGUUAAGUCCCGCAACGAGCGCAACCCUUGUCUUUAGUUGCCAUCAUUAAGUUGGGCACUCUAGAGAGACUGCCAGGGAUAACCUGGAGGAAGGUGGGGAUGACGUCAAAUCAUCAUGCCCCUUAUGCUUAGGGCUACACACGGGCUACAAUGGGUAGUACAGAGGGUUGCCAAGCCGUAAGGUGGAGCUAAUCCCUUAAAGCUACUCUCAGUUCGGAUUGUAGGCUGAAACUCGCCUACAUGAAGCUGGAGUUACUAGUAAUCGCAGAUCAGAAUGCUGCGGUGAAUGCGUUCCCGGGUCUUGUACACAC
rnacentral:rRNA from 1 species